UUUCCGUAGGUGAACCUGCGGAAGGAUCAUUAUUGUAUAACCGAGGUGCGUGGGCUGUCGCUGACCCGAAAGGUCGUGCACGCCCUAGUGCCCUCACACACAUCCAUCUCACCCCUAUGUGCACCACCGCGUGGGUCCCCCUUUGGCUUGUUCGGAGGGGCGCUUACGUUUUCACACAAACUUUGUAUGCAGUGUAGAAUGUAUUUUUUGUUUUUGCGAUCACGCAAUCAAUACAACUUUCAACAACGGAUCUCUUGGCUCUC
rnacentral:misc_RNA from 1 species